rnacentral:rRNA from 1 species
GAUGAACGCUAGCGGCAGGCUUAAUACAUGCAAGUCGAGGGGCAGCGGGAGUAGCAAUACUUGCCGGCGACCGGCGCACGGGUGCGUAACACGUAUGUAAUCUGCCCAUCACAGGAGGAUAGCCCGGAGAAAUUCGGAUUAAUACUCCAUAAUAGGAGAUAAAGCAUUUUUAUUUUCUUGAAAGUUCCGACGGUGAUGGAUGAACAUGCGACUGAUUAGUUUGUUGGUGAGGUAACGGCUCACCAAGACUACGAUCAGUAGGGGUACUGAGAGGUUAAACCCCCACACUGGUACUGAGACACGGACCAGACUCCUACGGGAGGCAGCAGUAAGGAAUAUUGGACAAUGGCCGCAAGGCUGAUCCAGCCAUGCCGCGUGCAGGAAGACGGACCUAUGGUUUGUAAACUGCUUUUGAACGGGAGAAAACCCCCUACGUGUAGGGGGCUGAUAGUACUGUUAGAAUAAGCAUCGGCUAACUUCGUGCCAGCAGCCGCGGUAAAGUG